rnacentral:rRNA from 1 species
ACGCUCGACACCUACGGGAGGCAGCAGUGGGGAAUAUUGCACAAUGGGGGAAACCCUGAUGCAGCGACGCCGCGUGAGUGAAGAAGUAUUUCGGUAUGUAAAGCUCUAUCAGCAGGGAAGAAGAUGACGGUACCUGAGUAAGAAGCCCCGGCUAACUACGCGCCAGCAGCGCGGUAAUCUGAGCGGGCUGGCAAGGC